AAAUAAUGUACUUCUGUAUCCUGUGCUUUUGCAUGGCCAGUUAAUACUGUAGCUUUUCAUGGCGAAGGAAAACUUGCUUCUUCCAGAGGGAAAUUCCAAGGCAUUUCUGUGUCCUAUAUGGAACAGAGCAGCUGUCCUAUCUGUGGAGCUCCUCUGCUCUGCUGGAAUUGAUCCAUCAGUAGGUUGGGAUCUGCACAAUAGAUGAAGGUCAGGAUUCUCUGCCUCCUGAGGAGCAUUUAAGGAAUGGAAAUUACCAAGGUUCUAGUGCUCCCACCGUGACACUUCAGAUAAAAUAAUUGCUAUUUACUGUUCAAAACACCAGUCUUCAGAGAAGAUGCACAGACGAUAUUGGUGCAAAGCACCUAGGAAAAAUGCUGUGAAGAC